rnacentral:ribozyme from 1 species
AAGUGAAACGAAAAAAAAGAAAAACGUCUUGCCGACUCCUUCUGACCUGUUUUUUUCCUUCCUUUUCCUUUUCCUCUUUCUGUUUC